rnacentral:rRNA from 1 species
AUGUUCAGCCCAGCAGCCUGGGACUCUCUUCCUCGCGCCGGACCAAGGCCAAGGCCCAGCCAGCCUCCGCUGCUUAACCCUAGGCCCAGCCACGCUCGAACCCCUUCUCCAUUGAUCCCUCUCCUCGAUCUCCAUCUUCCUCACGCCGCCACCCACAGGAACCGCACGCAGACCGCAAAUCCUCUCGCGUCUGCGCCCGAUCUCCUGACCCCACUCCGUGCCUCUGCUCCGCGUUGCCUUCCUCUGCCGAUGUCCUCCCUCUGCCGAGCCCUACCUCAUUCUCGUGCCCGCACCCAUCGUCCUCGCGCUGCCCUAGAGCUUCACUGCCGCCAAGCGCCACCAUCGCGCACGCCUCCCGAUCCGGCGUCCUGCUACCUCCUCCGCCUCGAUCCGGUGCCGCCGGAGGCCACCCGCGUCACCCAGGCGCCAGCUCCUCCUUCCACCUCGCCUCUCUGCAACCCCCCGCGGAUGCCAUCUUCCAGCGCCGCCAGAUGCCGUCCACGGAACCCAUGGCGCCGUCAUCUCAAGGCCACGCCGCCGGCGGGAUCCUGCGUGCCUCCGCCCGGAUCGGCCUGCUCGUCCGUUCCCGCCGCCUCAAGCUUCGCCUGCAUCCCCGUUGCUCCUCCUCAUGCCUCGUUCUGGCGUAAUCCGCGACAUCCGAUGACCACGACGACCACAGGAGCCAACCUCCGCCAUCUUCCUGGUCAAGUUGAUGCCAGGGCCGACCCCAAGGUGUUCCUCUACUCCUCUCGCCUCAAGCUCCUGCCGCUGACCACCAUGUUCGUCUUCUGUUGCUGCUUCACCGGUGAGCACAGGCCACCGCCGCGUUGCCUUGCCUUCGCCUCCCGGCUUCGUCCGCGUCCCGCUCAACCCUGUGGACGUCAAGUACCUCUACGACGGCCCUGUACGUCUACGACUGUGUACCUCCACUGGUUACGCCAAGAUCGACUACGCCGGUUCGCCAAGUACCCCACCGGCAAGACCGACGCCUGA